rnacentral:rRNA from 1 species
GAUGAACGCUCGCUACAGGCUUAACACAUGCAAGUCGCGGGGCAGCAUGGGGGUUGCUUGCAAUCCCCGAUGGCGACCGGCGCACGGGUGAGUAACGCGUAUCCAACCUGCCCUUCACCACGGGAUAACCCGGCGAAAGUCGGACUAAUACCGUAUGUUGUCCAUUGACGGCAUCCGAUUUGGACGAAAGGUUUGGCGGUGAAGGAGGGGGAUGCGUCCGAUUAGCUGGACGGCGGGGUGACGGCCCACCGUGGCGACGAUCGGUAGGGGUUCGGAGAGGAAGGUCCCCCACACUGGAACUGAGACACGGUCCAGACUCCUACGGGAGGCAGCAGUGAGGAAUAUUGGUCAAUGGGCGUAAGCCUGAACCAGCCAAGUAGCGUGCAGGAUGACGGCCCUAUGGGUUGUAAACUGCUUUUAUGCGGGGAUAAAGUGGCCCACGUGUGGGUUUUUGCAGGUACCGCAUGAAUAAGGACCGGCUAAUUCCGUG